rnacentral:rRNA from 1 species
AUUGAACGCUGGCGGCAUGCCUUACACAUGCAAGUCGAACGGCAGCGGACCUUCGGGUGCCGGCGAGUGGCGAACGGGUGAGUAAUAUAUCGGAACUUACCUUUCAGUGGGGGAUAACGUAGCGAAAGUUACGCUAAUACCGCAUAUUCUGUGAGCAGGAAAGCAGGGGAUCGCAAGACCUUGCGCUGAUUGAGCGGCCGAUAUCAGAUUAGCUAGUUGGUGAGGUAAAGGCUCACCAAGGCGACGAUCUGUAGCGGGUCUGAGAGGAUGAUCCGCCACACUGGAACUGAGACACGGUCCAGACUCCUACGGGAGGCAGCAGUGGGGAAUUUUGGACAAUGGGCGCAAGCCUGAUCCAGCCAUGCCGCGUGAGUGAAGAAGGCCUU